UACAGAGGCCUCAAGCGUUAGGCGGAAUCACUGGGCUUAAAGCGUGCGUAGGCGGUUAUGUAAGUCAGGUGUGAAAGCCCCGGGCUCAACCUGGGAAUGGCAUUUGAGACUGCAUAGCUAGGGUGCGGAAGAGGGAAGCGGAAUUUCCGGUGUAGCGGUGAAAUGCGUAGAUAUCGGAAGGAACAUCAGUGGCGAAAGCGGCUUCCUGGUCCAGCACCGACGUUCAGGCACGAAAGCGUGGGGAGCAAACAGG
rnacentral:rRNA from 1 species